AGGGGGAACACUUACUAUGUAAAGAGUGGUAGGGAGGAGCCACUGAAAUAGGUAGAAUAAAGAGAAGUUAUAUACUGGUUGCUUAUAUUCUAAUCAAACCUCCAGGGGGAACACUUACUAUGUAAAGAGUGGUAGGAUUGAGCCACUGGAAUAGGUAGAGAAAUGAGAAGUUAUAUACUGGUUGCUUAUAUUAUGAUCAAACCUCCAGGGGGAACACUUACUAUGUAAAGAGUGGUAGGGAUGAGCCACUGGAAUAGGUAGAGAAAUGAGAAGUUAUAUACUGGUUGCUUAUAUUCUAAUCAAACCUCCAGGGGGAACACUUACUAUGUAAAGAGUGGUAGGGAUGAGCCACUGGAAUAGGUAGAGAAAUGAGAAGUUAUAUACUGGUUGUUUAUAUUCUAAUCAAACCUCCAGGGGGAACACUUACUAUGUAAAGAGUGGUAGGAUUGAGCCACUGGAAUAGGUAGAGAAAUGAGAAGUUAUAUACUGGUUGUUUAUAUUCUAAUCAAACCUCCAGGGGGAACACUUACUAUGUAAAGAGUGGUAGGGAUGAGCCACUGGAAUAGGUAGAGAAAUGAGAAGUUAUAUACUGGUUGUUUAUAUUCUAAUCAAACCUCCAGGGGGAAUACUUACUAUGUAAAGAGUGGUAGGAUUGAGCCACUGGAAUAGGUAGAGAAAUGAGAAGUUAUAUACUGGUUGCUUAUAUUCUAAUCAAACCUCCAGGGGGAAUACUUACUAUGUAAAGAGUGGUAGGAUUGAGCCAC